GGGACUUUCCGUACCUCACCCUGGAGAUCAAGGAGCAAAGCUGCCCAUGUGAGGGAGUGAGGAAAAGGAACACCAAGGAGCAAAGCCCUGAAGCGGCAAAGAGUUUCCAGAACAAUCUGUGAAUUCUCAAAGAACCAGGAUGUCUUCAGCUGAUGUACUCUUCCCCUUGAGUGUCACAGCAUCAGGGAACCACUGAGGCCUCAGCUGUGACCAGACGCAAAAUGGAGUUGUUUCCACACGCCAUAGUCGGCUCUCGGGCAAGGAAACACUGGGCCUUAGACAGAAACCGACAUCGCAAGAGGAUGGAUUGCCCAAAAUCACAUGGAUGCUGAGAUCCCGUAUUGGGGCCCGUUGCCUCUUGCUCCCUGAACUGUAGUUCCCCUGAAACUUAGCACCAGUUGGGCAACAGCGGGUACUGGCACCUGCCCUGCGGACUGGGCCCUGAACGACCACGAGCACGCGUCGGCGCAGACCUCGGACCCGGACCCG
rnacentral:lncRNA from 1 species